GACUGUCUAAAAUCCUAUCCCUACCUCCUCGCGGUACUGGCCGGGGUACGGGCAACCUUAGGGAAGAUCGGAUAACCCCAGUUGGAACUUUGGUCGUAUGCUAACAGGGAAGG
rnacentral:ribozyme from 1 species